rnacentral:rRNA from 1 species
UACAGAGGUCUCAAGCGUUGUUCGGAUUCAUUGGGCGUAAAGGGUGCGUAGGCGGUAGCGUAAGUUGGAUGUGAAAUCCCGGGGCUCAACCCCGGAACUGCAUUCAAUACUGCGUUACUAGAGUGCUGGAGAGGAGAUUGGAAUUCACGGUGUAGCAGUGAAAUGCGUAGAUAUCGUGAGGAAGACCAGUGGCGAAGGCGAAUCUCUGGACAGCUACUGACGCUGAGGCACGAAGGCUAGGGGAG